CCCCUGCCACCACCAUUCACUCCUCAUCAUCACUCACUUGAAACUGUGGUCUCUUUUCUGUGUUAUGGCUUCCCUAGCUAUGUAGCAACAACUCAUAAAGCUCUCUCCCCCUCUCUUUCUUUCCUUUUUUUUUUUUAUCUCAUCCCUCACUUAACUUUUGCUUCCACACCGCAAAUCUCCAUUCCUUUUCUCACAAACCAAACCACAUACAUCCACCGGGAUGGGCGGUCGUCGGCAUGUUGCGGUGGUUUCCAGCAGCGGUUACGGAAGGAGCAGCGGAUGUUGGCGUCGACGGCGUCCCAAAAACUGUACUAGGGCGAUGCUUGUCUAGCGAAAAUGAAAGAAAUUAAACAGACGGGCAGAGUUGGGAGAGCAGCAUCGUUGCAUUGCGGGGAAUUGAGGGUAGCGGUCCGAUUUUCACGUUAAACUCAUCAUCAUGUAUUUCUCUUUUUCUUUCUGUAGUACUUAUCGACUUUAGCUUUUCUAUGUUCCCUUCUUUUAGGAGGUUGCUUCUCAUGAUUUUUGUCUUUUUUUCUAUCCUUUGGAAAUGGGAUGUAAGAGACGCAUGCUCGAGUUUUAAAAGAGGGAUUGUGGUCGGUUGGGCUUUGCGACUCGAGAGAGAGGGGGAGGGAGGGAGGGAGGGAGAUGUUGCUGGGCAUGCAUCACUUACACCUGAGAAUAAUGUAUCUUUGCUUUGUUUAUGAAGUUAACAAAACUUUUAGGGCAAGAAAAAGUUCAUCUUGGCUUCUUUCUCGUGGACGUUCUGGGACUAAUCUUCCCAUGUGGUCUGUCAGGUGUGUUGUGUACUUGUAAUAGAUUGAGUUUUGGAUUGAUGUAUUUGUACACGACCCCUUUUGUUUUUUCUCUUUUGGUGGAAGAUUACAGCCGAUGUACACAUCAUGAAUCAAUAAUUUGGAAGAGGUUCUGUUGUUCAGA